GAUUCACGUCUGCUCCUCUCAAAAGCAAUUAGCUGGAUCUCGGAGCUCGGUUCCACUCGGCGUGAUAAAUAUCACUCGCUGAGGACACCCACCCAGGUGGCCGGGUUUGCGGAUUGAGCCGCUUCUAAUCGUCCAUUUGCUUGGACAACAACACUUUAUGAUCUGAUCUCAAAUCAGGUAGGACUACCCGCUGAACUUAA
rnacentral:misc_RNA from 1 species